rnacentral:rRNA from 1 species
CCUACGGGUGGCAGCAGUGGGGGAUAUUGCACAAUGGGGGGAACCCUGAUGCAGCGACGCCGCGUGGGUGAAGAAGCGCCUCGGCGCGUAAAGCCCUGUCAGCAGGGGAGCAAAUGACGGUACCUGAAGCAGAAGCGCCGGCUAACUACGUGCCAGCAGCCGCGGUAAUACGUAGGGGGCACGCGUUAUCCGGAUUUACUGGGGGUAAAGGGGGCGCAGACGGCGAUGCAGGCCAGGAGUGAAAGCGCGGGGGCCAACCCCGGGACUGCCCUUGGAACUGCGUGGCUGGAGUGCAGGAGGGGCAGGCGGAAUGCCUGGUGUAGCGGUGAAAUGCGUAGAUAUCAGGAGGAACACCGGUGGCGAAGGCGGCCUGCUGGACUGCAACUGACGUUGAGGCCCGAAAGCGUGGGGAGCGAACAGGAUUAGAUACCCCUGUAGUC